rnacentral:lncRNA from 1 species
AUCCUGAAAAAAAACCCCUUAAAACAUCUAAAGAAAAAACAAUUCACCCUACCAUAUUCUUUAGUAAUAUCACUUAAUGAAUUAUGCAUAUGUUUGAUAUUCCUUCCUUACUGGGAAAAGUAUAAAAAGUGCAGAAAUCUGUGCCGAAAUAUUUUUUUCAGGCUGAGGGAUUUGCAGGAGUUGACCGGACGGGCCGAGCCAGAGAGGAGUCAUAACAUCACAGCAUGUUGUUUUAAGCUAGCGUUAGCCAAGAAGUUAGCCAAUGCUAUUGGCUACCCUUAGCUCCAGAAACAAGGGGAAUCUUUUUCCCCCUUUUUUACCCACAUUGCAAAGCAUAAUAACAUCAUGACUGAGGUUAUUUGGCUGGUGCAAGGAAAGAGAGCUGUGGCAGUUGUGUGUGUACAGAUGAGGCAAAGAGAAGAAAGUCACUCAGGCGGUGAGCUUCACUCAUUUCUGGGAUAUACAACAGAAAGGCAACACAGAGGUGCAGAUACUGUGAAGGUGUCAGAAGGUACCAUGGUCACAAGAAGCUUCAGUACUGCGGGAUGCAGAGCUCUCACAGUGUGUGUAGCGCUUUUCCACUUCAAACUUCCUCUCAUUUUCUGUGGUCACUUCCUGGGUGUCCACAGUCAAGCUUGCUACAGCAGUGACGGUAACACUGGACAUAUAUACUGCCCAGGGCCAAAUAAAGAGCACCUCCACCUAAGGGAAAGAGGAACCCCCAUAAUAACUAGUUGAGACAGCUGGAUGAAAGAAGCACAGCAGAGAAAAGAAAGCAGAGAGCAGAGCGUGGCUGACCCAAGGAUCACGCACUGGUUUGGCCCCGUGGGGUUUAGAUCAUAGCCAAUUGUAGUGGCCCCACUGCCCUGGCCUCACAUGCAGCAUUUCCUGAGCAGGGCCGUUCACAACCCUUCUACAAUACUGACACGGCUUACAUAGAGUAUUAAAAAAGAAUUAGACCCUG